AGUCGUAACAAGGUCUCCGUAGGUGAACCUGCGGAGGGAUCAUUAAACUAUCCUUUUCCAUAAAAAGAAAAGAACAGUUUAAAAACAGGGGGGGGUCUUGGUAGUUUGGGGGUCUCCAUAUUUCCAGUAUGGAGUCCACAAGCCACCGGGGUCCCUCUGAGUGUGGUUUUGUGGGGCUGAGCUUUAGAUGCUGGAAACAUCUACUCUCACUAUAGCCUUGCAUUGCUGCGACCUUUGAGUUCAUUAUUUUUUGGUAAGCUUCUCAAAGGCUCAUUCAAGUAUGGAAGAACCAUAAUGGCAACAUAGUGACAUUUUUUUUUUAUAAUCCAUUGAUGGUGGAUGACUCGGCUCCAGU
rnacentral:misc_RNA from 1 species